UACGUAGGGAGCAAGCGUUGUUCGGAUUUACUGGGCGUAAAGCGCGUGUAGGCGGUUCGGUAAGUCUGCUGUGAAAGUCCAGGCUCAACCCUGGGAUGCCGGUGGAUACUGUCGGACUAGAGUACGGAAGAGGCGAGUGGAAUUCCCGGUGUAGCGGUGAAAUGCGCAGAUAUCGGGAGGAACACCAAUGGCGAAGGCAGCUCACUGGGACGGCACUGACGCUGAGACGCGAAAG
rnacentral:rRNA from 1 species